rnacentral:rRNA from 1 species
GAUGAACGCUGGCGGCGUGCCUAACACAUGCAAGUCGAACGGAGUCCAGCCUUUAAGACCUUCGGGUCAAAGAGGGGAAGACUGAGUGGCGGACGGGUGAGUAACACGUGGGCAACCUGGCUCAUAGAGGGGGAUAACAGAGAGAAAUUUCUGCUAAUACCGCAUAAGCACACACUGCCGCAUGGCAGAGGGUGAAAAGAGAAUCGCUAUGAGAUGGACCCGCGUCUGAUUAGCCAGUUGGCAGGGUAAGAGCCUACCAAAGCGACGAUCAGUAGCCGAUCUGAGAGGAUGAACGGCCACAUUGGGACUGAGACACGGCCCAAACUCCUACGGGAGGCAGCAGUGGGGGAUAUUGCACAAUGGGGGGAACCCUGAUGCAGCGACGCCGCGUGAGUGAAGAAGUAUUUCGGUAUGUAAAGCUCUAUCAGCAGGGAAGAUAAUGACAGUACCUGAAUAAGAUGCCCCGGCUAACUACGUG